GUUGAACGCUGGCGGCGUGCCUAAUACAUGCAAGUCGAGCGAACAGACGAGGAGCUUGCUCCUUCGACGUUAGCGGCGGACGGGUGAGUAACACGUAGGUAACCUACCUAUAAGACUGGGAUAACUUCGGGAAACCGGAUCUAAUACCGGAUAAUAUUUCGAACCGCAUGGUUCUUUAGUGAACGAUGUCUUUGCUAUCACUAAUAGAUAGACCUGCGCCGUAUUAGCUAGUUGGUAAGGUAACGGCUUACCAAGGCAACGAUACGUAGCCGACCUGAGAGGGUGAUCGGCCACACUGGAACUGAGACACGGUCCAGACUCCUACGGGAGGCAGCAGUAGGGAAUCUUCGGCAAUGGGCGAAAGCCUGACGGAGCAACGCCGCGUGAGUGAUGAAGGUCUUCGGAUCGUAAAACUCUGUUAUUAGGGAAGAACAAACGUGUAAGUAACUGUGCACGUCUUGACGUUACCUAAUCAGAAAGCCACGGCUAACUACGUG
rnacentral:rRNA from 1 species